ensembl:snRNA LOC120098668 U6 spliceosomal RNA
UCCUGCUUGCAGGACACAUGUAAAACUGGAAUGAUGCAGAAACUAGUAUGGCCCCUACACAAGAAUAGCACUCAAAUCCAUGAAGCCUUCCAUAUUUUU